CCCCGCGCGCUCCGCCGCCGCGCCCACUCCGGUCGGCCCAGCGCCUCGGACCCCGCCGCCAGCUCCGCGUCCGAGCCCCCAGCCGCUGCCUCUUUGUCUGCACCCGGGCCGCCGCUCUGGAGAAACGAACCUCAGACCCCCGGCGCGCCCGCCAUCCAGCUCUCAGAUCCCAGAGAGGACCGGGAUGGGGAAGAAGGUGCGAGGAAACCCGAGAGGCCUGGACCAAGGGGCUUCUCAUCAUCUCGAUCCAGGGUGAGAAAUCCUUUGAAAUAAGCUCGGAGGAGCUGCCCACAGCUGGUUAACUUUAGGGAGCGUCCUCUCUGCCCUCCUCGCCCUCCAAGUAAGACCCAGGGUGAGCAACCUCUGGGGAAAGCACUGCAGCAAAUGAAGCUUGAGAAGGACCAUCUCCUCCCUCCCCUUCCCUCCAGGGAAAGACCGAGAGUUUAAAAAUCCCUUGAAACAAGCCCAACACUUGCUCCGUCAGUUUGAGAAAAGCCUUUUAUUCGCCUCAGCCGCUUGGAGGGAAGCCCUGGUUAACGUCCUGUCCUCCCACCUCCCCACAGGGAUCUCCUUUAAAAGCUUUUGAAAGGGACUGGAGGGGAGGCAGCAACAGCCUGCUCCGGGCCGGUGCAGCGGAGGGCGGCCAGCAUUUCACUCCCAUGGACCAUGGCAACCCCAGAAGCUUUGCAGCUCCUGGAAGGAAUUUGCAGCUGUGGGUGAAGCCCAGUAUUUUACAACGACUUAGUAGUGGAUAGGGGGCCCAGGGCUUCCCCAUCCUCUCUGGUGGAAGGGAAUAAUCAGGAGGGUGACCCCCUUGCUGACCUUUAUUCAAAGCACUGGUGCUGCUUGGACCAACAGGCAUGCACAGAGCAGGGGGAGGGAACUGCAAUGAAAAUGCAUGGAGUUCUGAACAAACAAGUAAAUGUAUCUGCUGGCACCUCCCCUGGAUUCAGGCUUAAGUCACAAAAAUCCUGUUUCCUAACUCAACAUCACCUUAGUUUGCAAGUUGCAAGGUCAAAGUGUGGUGGUACCCCUGGUAUCCAGUAUGGAUAUUCCUAAUCUGAAAGUCAUACCUCACCCUCUCAUCUGAAUACUUUUCAGCACUAAUGCACAACCUAUAUAAUCAUAGAUGCGGUAGAAAAAGGCAGAGACUACUGUUGAGUGGGAUGCAAAUAAACACUUCUGUUUUCCUCU
rnacentral:lncRNA from 1 species